CUAACCACCUAUCAGCAAUCAAUAGCUUAGCGUGUGUUUUGGUCUGGUAUCUUUUGAUUUGUGCUGAGCAGUGUGAUAUAUUUACGGUAUUAUUCUGUCGUUAAAAGCCUAAAUAUAGAGGCUUAUAAGUGGCAUGCAAAUCCAGGAAUGCUGUGUGUUGGUACACUGAAAAAAUGUUGGCAAAGUACAGAAUAACUGUAGUAUUUCAUUCCAAGGUGCAACUUUACCAAAGAUGGUCUCUGCCAAACACUUGUGAUACCUAACCUGAGUUAGCCUAUGAUUUUUAACUUUAUGAAAUGUAGGCUGUCAAGCCAAAUACUGGAACACCUCCGGUCAUUCCGCGCUUAAGACAGUGAAGAGAGGAAGUUGGAGUGGUGGGGCCACAAGAUCAAGAAAAUAAAGAUGUUUAGUAGGCCUUCAGGGAUUGAACAGCAAAACUGAAGAAAGGAAGUUGGAAUGGAGGUAAAGUAAGUCUAUAAGAGGGUGCAUUUGGUUGGCCUAAUGCCGGUAGCGCACCAUGUUAGUACCUCUGCCGGCUUUACUAUCUUACGGAUAAAGAAGUUUUAAAAUUGAAUCCAGUGAGAACUAUAGAUAGAUAUGAGAGAUGAUAGACAAACUCCUGGAAAAUCUGCAUGCACUCGAUAUUGAAGAUCUGCUUCGUGACUGGACUGGGAUGCCGGAAAUAGUUGGAAAUAUAAGGUUACUGCGAGGCGCCAGACAUCGGAGUCAAAAGGACCAACGAAACGCAUGAGGAAUGGUCUGGAGAGACUGUUACACCUGGGGAAUUACACCUUGGGAAAAAGCUUCCCGGAGUGAGCUGAUCGAGAAUGAGAGAGGCGGACCAGUUUCUUUCCGAGUGAUCGAAUCGAUGAAUCGAUAACUGCCUCCAAAUGUGAAUGAUCUGUGUUAGAAAUACUAGAGAACUGAUGAAGUGGAUCAUAGAAUUGAUAAAUUGUCUAAGAUGGCUGAUAAACUGUAGCAGACAACUGUAUGAGAAUGGAUCAGCUAUAUUAGAAAUUUUAGAUAUCACAGAGGACUGAUAAACUGUGACAAACAGUUAUUUUAAUUAUGUCAUGGUAAUUAAUAAACUUAGAAUGAUCAAAUAAUUAAUAAACUUAGAAUGAUCAAA